CCUACGGGAGGCAGCAGUGAGGAAUAUUGGACAAUGGGCGCAAGCCUGAUCCAGCCAUGCCGCGUGCAGGAAGAAGCAUCUAUGGUGUGUAAACUGCUUUUGUACAGGAAGAAACACUCCCUCGUGAGGGAGCUUGACGGUACUGUAAGAAUAAGGACCGGCUAACUCCGUGCCAGCAGCCGCGGUAAUACGGAGGGUCCGAGCGUUAUCCGGAAUCAUUGGGUUUAAAGGGUCCGUAGGCGGUUUAAUAAGUCAGUGGUGAAAUCUGGUCGCUCAACGAUCAAACGGCCAUUGAUACUGUUAGACUUGAAUUAUAAGGAAGUAACUAGAAUAUGUAGUGUAGCGGUGAAAUGCUUAGAUAUUACAUGGAAUACCAAUUGCGAAGGCAGGUUACUACUUAUGGAUUGACGCUGAUGGACGAAAGCGUGGGGAGCGAACAGGAUUAGAUACCCUGGUAGUCCACGCCGUAAACGAUGGAUACUAGCUGUUCGGAGCAAUCUGAGUGGCUAAGCGAAAGUGAUAAGUAUCCCACCUGGGGAGUACGUUCGCAAGAAUGAAACUCAAAUGAAAUUGACCGGNUGAGAGNGCGACGACGACGACGAGGGAGGAGG
rnacentral:rRNA from 1 species